ACUAUUCCAUAGAUCGAUCGCGAUCGGACAACCUAGGGAGUUUUCAAUCUUGAUCCGACGAUUCAGGAGCUUGAUUUGGCUUGUUUAGGAGACCUAAACCUAAUCUAAUUAGGUUUAAACCCUUAUUUAAGGCAUUUAAAAGGCCUGUGCCUCAACAGAGAAAGAGUGGUCUGAUUUUUUGCUGUGGAUGCCGUACGAAACCC
rnacentral:lncRNA from 1 species